UACUACGGCCAUGCCUGCCUGUUAUUAAUCUCAUCAGAUCUUGGAAGCUAAGCAGGGCAUGGCCAGGUUAGUAUUUGGAUGGGAGACUACUGGGACAGCAGCGGCUCUAAUGG
rnacentral:rRNA from 1 species